CGCAGGCUUGCUUCUAUGUGAAACUCCUUCGAAGAGUCGAGUUGUUUGGGAAUGCAGCUCAAAAUGGGUGGUAAAUUUCAUCUAAAGCUAAAUAUUGGCGGGAGACCGAUAGCGCACAAGUAGAGUGAUCGAAAGAUGAAAAGCACUUUGAAAAGAGAGUUAAACAGUACGUGAAAUUGUUGAAAGGGAAGCGCUUGCAAUCAGACUUGCCUUCAGUUGAUCAGCCAUCCUUCUGGUUGGUGCACUCUGCUGUUGGCGGGCCAGCAUCAGUUGGGGCGGUGGGACAAAGGUGGCAGGAAUGUGGCUCGUUCGCGAGUGUUAUAGCCUGCUGCGCCAUGCCACCAGCCCCGACUGAGGUCCGCGGUUCGCCUAGGAUGCUGGCUUAAUGGUUGU
rnacentral:rRNA from 1 species